GAUGAAGAACGUAGCGAAAUGCGAUAAGUAAUGUGAAUUGCAGCAUUCAGUGAAUCAUCGAAUCUUUGAACGCACAUUGCGCCCGCCAGUAUUCUGGCGGGCAUGCCUGUUCGAGCGUCAUUACAACCCUCAAGCUCAGCUUGGUGUUGGGCCCCGCCGCCCCGGCGGGCCCUAAAGUCAGUGGCGGUGCCGUCCGGCUCCGAGCGUAGUAAUUCUUCUCGCUCUGGAGGUCCGGUCGUGUGCUCGCCAGCAACCCCCAAUUUUUUUCAGGUUGACCUCGGAUCAGGUAGGGAUACCCGCUGAACUUAAGCAUAUCAAUAAGCGGAGGA
rnacentral:misc_RNA from 1 species